rnacentral:rRNA from 1 species
AGAGUUUGAUCCUGGCUCAGAUUGAACGCUGGCGGCAGGCCUAACACAUGCAAGUCGAACGGUAACAGGAAGCAGCUUGCUGCUUUGCUGACGAGUGGCGGACGGGUGAGUAAUGUCUGGGAAACUGCCCGAUGGAGGGGGAUAACUACUGGAAACAGGUGCUAAUACCGCAUAGGUCAUCAUUCCACAUGGAAAGAUGACAAAAGACGCUACGGUGUCGCUGUUGGAUGGGCCCGCGCUGCAUUAGUUAGUUGGUGAGGUAACGGCUCACCAAGACCAUGAUGCAUAGCCGACCUGAGAGGGUGAUCGGCCACACUGGAACUGAGACACGGUCCAGACUCCUACGGGAGGCAGCAGUGGGGAAUAUUGCACAAUGGGGGAAACCCUGAUGCAGCCAUGCCGCGUGUGUGAAGAAGGCCUUCGGGUUGUAAAGCACUUUCAGCGGGGAGGAAGGGGUUAAGGUUAAUAACCUUAGCCAUUGACGUUACCCGCAGAAGAAGCACCGGCUAACUCCGUGCCAGCCGCCGCGGUAAUAC